rnacentral:tRNA from 1 species
GGAGGGAUGGCUGAGUUGGUUUAAGGCGCUCGAUUCGAAAUCGAGUGUAGGUUUAUAGCCUACCGUGGGUUCAAAUCCCACUCCCUCUGCCA